rnacentral:rRNA from 1 species
UGGGGAAUAUUGGACAAUGGGGGAAACCCUGAUCCAGCAAUGCCGCGUGUGCGAUGAAGGCCUGCGGGUUGUAAAGCACUUUCGGUGAGGAAGAAAGGCUCAAAUAUAAUACAUUUGAGAAAUGACGUUACUCACAGAAGAAGCACCGGCAAACUCUGUGCCAGCAGCCGCGGUAAUACAGAGGGUGCAAGCGUUAAUCGGAGUUACUGGGCGUAAAGGGCGUGUAGGCUGAUAUUUAAGUCGGUUGUGAAAUCCCCGGGCUCAACCUGGGAAUUGCAGUCGAUACUGAAUGUCUAGAGUAUGGUAGAGGAAAGUGGAAUUCUCGGUGUAGUGGUUAAAUACGUAGAUAUCGAGAAGAACAUCGGUGGCGAAGGCGGCUAACUGGUCCGGUACUGACGCUGAGGUGCGAAAGCGUGGGGAGCAAACAGGAUUAGAUACCCCGGUAGUCCCUGAGCGGGCUGGCAAGGCGCAU